GGCGGACGGGUGAGUAACACGUGGGAACGUGCCUUUAGGUUCGGAAUAAGCCCGGGAAACUGGGUCUAAUACCGAAUGUGCCCUUCGGGGGAAAGAUUUAUCGCCUUUAGAGCGGCCCGCGUCUGAUUAGCUAGUUGGUAGUGUAAUGGACUACCAAGGCUACGAUCAGUAGCUGGUCUGAGAGGAUGACCAGCCACAUUGGGACUGAGACACGGCCCAAACUCC
rnacentral:rRNA from 1 species